GACGAACGCUGGCGGCGUGCUUAACACAUGCAAGUCGAACGAAAAGAGGGAAAGAGCUUGCUCUUUCCGGAAUUGAGUGGCAAACGGGUGAGUAACACGUAAACAACCUGCCUUCAGGAUGGGGACAACAGACGGAAACGACUGCUAAUACCGAAUAAGUUCCAAGGGCCGCAUGGCCCAUGGAAGAAAAGGUGGCCUCUACCUGUAAGCUAUCGCCUGAAGAGGGGUUUGCGUCUGAUUAGCUGGUUGGAGGGGUAACGGCCCACCAAGGCGACGAUCAGUAGCCGGUCUGAGAGGAUGAACGGCCACACUGGAACUGAGACACGGUCCAGACUCCUACGGGAGGCAGCAGUGGGGAAUCUUCCGCAAUAGGCGAAAGCCUGGCGGAGCAACGCCGCGUGAGUGAUGACGGCCUUCGGGUUGUAAAACUCUGUGAUCCGGGACGAAAAGGCAGAGUGCGAAGAACAAACUGCAUUGACGGUACCGGAAAAGCAAGCCACGGCUAACUACGUG
rnacentral:rRNA from 1 species